CAGCAGUAGCCGCGGUAAUACGAAGGGUGCAAGCGUUAAUCGGAAUUACUGGGCGUAAAGCGUGCGUAGGCGGUUUGUUAAGUCUGCUGUGAAAUCCCCGGGCUCAACCUGGGAAUGGCAGUGGAUACUGGCAAGCUAGAGUGUGUCAGAGGAUGGUGGAAUUCCCGGUGUAGCGGUGAAAUGCGUAGAGAUCGGGAGGAACAUCAGUGGCGAAGGCGGCCAUCUGGGACAACACUGACGCUGAGGCACGAAAGCGUGGGGAGCAAACAGGAUUAGAUACCCCCGUAGUCCCUGUCUCUUAUAC
rnacentral:rRNA from 1 species